GGACCGUGCAGCCCGCGUCAAGGUUAGCUUCGACAUGUGGCUGGGAGGGCCAGGGCUCCUGGGAGCAUCUUCAAAGACCCUGUCCUCGGAGAGCCCAGUUCAGGAGUCAGAUUCCCCUGAGGCCCACAGAGACAGGGUUCUGGCACGAAUGUGCUUUACUUCCAAGGGUAGCGUUUAGUCGCUAAGCCGUGUCCAACUCUGCAACCACAUGGACGGUACCUGCCAGGCUCCUCCGUCCGUGAAAUUCUCCAGGCAAGCAUACUGGACUGGGUUGUCAUUUCCUUCCCAGACCAGGGAUUGAACCCUCAUCUCCCGCACUGGCAGGUGGAUUCUCUACCACUGAGUGACCUGCAAAGCCCCAAAAGAUGUGUGUACCUCCCCAGAUAAGAGGCUUGGCAUUUUGAAGGGCAGGGAGGGAGGGUUCUGCAGCGAGCCCCAAAGGGAAAUGCUUAGACUCUGAGUUUUCCUGAGGGCUGCAGCAGCCUUGACCAUGAGCUCUGGCGUCUGCCCCUGGUUCCAAGGACAGGCUUGGGGAAGGUGCCUCUAGCAAAUCCUUGAUUUCCCCUCCUUUAGACAACUUUUCCAGUCCAGCUUUCUCAGGGCAGUGCGCACACACAUACCCAUCGGACCUCCCUGGCGGUCCAGUAGUUGAGAAUCCGCCUGCCAACCUGUAGGAGACACCGGUUCAAUCACUGGAUCAGGAAGAUUUCACAUGUUGUGGAUCAACUAAGCCUGAGCACCACAGCUGCUGGUACACGCACACCCUAGAGUCCACGCUCUGCCGUGGGAAGGGCCGCUGGAGUGAGAAGCUCACUCCCUGCCACCAGAGAGUAGCCCCGGCUCACCGUAACGAGAGAAAGUCCAUGCACAGCAGUGAAGGCCCAGGGCCGCCAAGACAGAGGGACUCAUCCACGUGACCCAGUCACGGCAUGCCCAACAACCACCCGGUCUGCAAGCCCCCUCCGCUGCUUCUCUAUUGCUCCCUGCUUGGUUCUCCGCAAAUACUAAGUGUGCUAAGAAAUACAAGGGAAUUCCCUGGCAGUUCGGUGGUUAGGACUCAGAGCUUUCACUGCCAUGAAAUACAUACAAUGAAAUGAUACUGUCAUUACUGACUCUCUCGCCCCCGCCCCGAUUCAAUCACCCUCAGCUGCACAGAUCUCUCACAUUCCUUUCCUCCUGUUCCCAUGACCAUCAUCUCCCACCAAACCCUCAUCACUGCAAUAGGAGUGAACACUUCUAUAGACCUUAUUAUCACGGGCUAGGCAUCGUUCUUCAGCAUUUUAACACUCAUGAUUUUGUUUGAGACUCACAAGCCCCCAGAGAGGCAAAACCUCGUGGCCGGUCCCCCCUCUCCAGUCUCUCUCUCGGGAUUCCACGCCAUCCUCACGGUUACCAGAGGUAUGGGUGCCUGCGCGUGGCAGCUUCAUUUCCUGCUUCACUUUUUCAGUUUUACUUGUUUGUUUUGGCAUGCAGCAUCUUAGCUGCCUGACCAGGGAUCGGACCCACGUCCCCUGCAGGAGAAGCGAGGGGCCCUGACCGAUGGGCUGCCAGGGAAUACCCUGCGUUUCCUUUUUUAAAUUAAGGACAUCCAGCCAUGUAAAUCAAAUCCCUUACGCUUAUACAGUAGAAGUGACAGAUAGAUUCAAGGGAUUAGACCUGAUGGAGCACCUGAAGAACUGUGGAUGGAACUUCGUGACAUUGCACAGGAGGCUGUGAUCAAGACCAUCCUCAAGAAAAAGAAAUUCGAAAGAGCAAAAUCGUUGUUGAGGAGACCUUAUAAAUAGCUGAGAAAAGAAGAGAUGCUAAAGGCAAAGGGAAAAUGAAAGAUAUACCCAUUUGAAUGCAGAGUUCCAAAGAAUAGUAAGGAGAGAUAAGAAAGCCUUCCUCAAUGAUCAAUGCAAAGAAAUGGAGGAAAACAAUAGAAUGGGAAAGACUAGAGAUCUCUUCAAGAAAAUUAGAAUUACCAAGGGAACAUUUCAUGCAAAGGGGCUCGAUAAAGGACAGAAAUGGUAUGGACCUAACAAAAGCAGAAGAUAUUAAGAAGAGGUGGCAAGAAUACACAGAAGAACUAUACAAAAAGAUCUUCAUGACCCAGAUAAUCACGAUGGUGUGGUCACUCAUCUAGAGCCAGACAUCCUGGAAUGAGAAGGCAAGUGGGCCUUAGGAAGCAUCACUAUGAACAAAGCUAAUGGAGGUGAUGGAAUUCCAGUGGAGCUAUUUCAAAUCCUACAAGAUGAUCCUGUGAAAGUCCUGCACUCAAUAUGCCAACCAAUUUGGAAAACUCAGCAGUGGCCACAGGUCUGGAAAAGGUCAGUUUUCAUUCCAUCCCAAAGAAAGGCAAUGUCAAAGAAUGCUCAAACUACCGCACAACUGCACUCAUCUCACAUGCUAGCAAAGUAAUGCUCAAAAUUCUUCAAGCCAGGCUUCAGCAAUAUGUGAACCAUGAACUUCCAGAUGUUCAAGCUGGUUUUAGAAAAGGCAGAGGAACCAGAGAUCAAAUUGCCAACAUCUGUUGGAUCACUGAAAAAGCAAGAGAGUUCCAGAAAAACAUCUACUUCUGCUUUAUUGACUAUGCCAAAGCCUUUGACUGUGUGGAUUACAGCAAACUGUGGAAGAUUCUUCAACAGAUGGGAAAACAAGACCACCUGACCUGCUUCCUGAGAAAUCUGUAUGCAGGUCAAGAAGCAACAAUUAGAACCGGACAUGGAACAACAGACUGGUUCCAAAUAGGGAAAGGAGUACAUCAAGGCUGUAUAUUCUCACCCUGCUUAUUUAACAUAUGCAGAGUAUAUCAUGAGAAACGCUGGGCUGGAUGAAGCACAAGCUGGAAUCAAGAUUGUCGGGCGAAAUAUCAAUCACCUCAGAUAUGCAGAUGACACCACCCUCAGGGCAGAAAGUGAAGAGGAGCUAAAAAGCCUCUUGAUGAAAGUGAAAGAGGAGAGUGAAAAAUUUGGCUUAAAGCUCAACAUUCAGAAAACUAAGGUCAUGGCAUCUGGUCCCAUCACUUCAUGGGAAAUAGAUGGGGAAACAGUGGAAACAGUGAGAAACUUUGGUUUGGGGCUCCAAAAUCAUUGCAGAUGGUGACUGUAGGCUUGAAAUGAAAAGACGUUUGCUUCUUGGAAGAAAAGUUAUGACCAACCUAGACAGCAUAUUAAAAAGCAGAGACAUUACUUUGCCAACAAAGUUCCGUCUAGUCAAAAUUAUGGUUUUUCUAGUGGUCAUGUAUGGAUGUGAGAGUUGGACUGUGAAGAAAGCUCAGCACCAAAGAAUUGAUGCUUUUGAACUGUGGUGUUGGAGAAGACUGAGAGCCCCUUGGACUGCAAGGAGAUCCAACCAGUUCAUCCUAAAGGAAAUCAGUCCUGAAUAUUCACUGGAAGGACUGAUGCUGAAGCUGAAACUCCAAUACUUUGGCCACCUCAUGCGAAGAACUGACUCAUUAGCAAAGACCCUGAUGCUGGGAAAGAUUAAAGGCAGGAGGAGAAGGGGACAACAGAGGAUGAGAUGGUUGGAUGGUAUCACUGACUCGGUGGACAUGAGUAUGAGUAAACUCUGGGAGUUGGUGUUGGACAGGGAGGCCUGGCGUGCUGCAGUCCAUGGUGUUGCAAAGAGUUGGACGUAGCAACUGAACUGAACUGAGCCAUGUAAACAUAUAAAUUAAAUAAUAAUAAAUGCAUAUACCCAGCAUCCAACUUAGGAGAGCCAACAUUAUUAACUCCUGAAGCUUCCCCAUGUCUCUCCUUGAUCUGCCUCUUCCUCUCAUCUGGAGGCAAUAAGUACCCUGAGUUUGGGAUUUAUCACUUCUUUGCCCCUUUCUUUGUAGUUUUCUCACAGAUGGAUGCAGUCCUGAGAAACGCGUUGCCUAGUUUCGCGUGCCUUUGAACUUUGGAGAAAUGAAGUUGAACUGUCUGCAUCUUCCUGCAGCACGCAUGUUUUUGAUCUGCAUUUUGUUUAUGAGACUCACUCAUACGGCUGAGUAGAGCUGUCACGCGUGCAUUUUCACUCCCGUGAUGCACUCUACUGUACAAACCAGCCACAGGUCACGGCUCCAUUCUUCUCUUGGUAGACGUAGGGAUGCUGCCGUUAAUAUUUAUUGCACCCCCUGAUGCACGUGUGUAAGAGUUUCUAGGUGAGGCAAACGGAAUAGAAAUGCUGGGUUGGAAGAUACGCACACCUGAACUCGACCAGACAAUGCCAAGUUUCUCUCUAGAGUGGUUGCGUGAAUUAACACUCCCAAAGCAGUGUACAGAGCCUGCAUUGUCCCGCAACCCUGACGACACUUGGUGCUGUCAGUCUUUGAUGCAGGCGCCAACCUGGUGGGUGUAGAUUGGUGCGCUGUGGAGGUUUUGCGUUUGCAUCUCCCUGAUUCGCAGUGAGAUUGAAUGUCUAUUGGCAACGCUGUCUCCUUGUCUGUGCGAUGCUAGGUUACAGCUCUCGUCUUUUUCUGCUCUGCCAUCGUUUUCUUAUUGUUUCUUUAGGAGCUUUUCAUAUACUCUGAUCUUGAUCUUUUGUAAAGUACAUGUAUUUCAACUAGUCAUUUCCCAAUCUGUGGCUUACCUUUCCGCUUUCUAAAUGGUGCGUCUUGGUGAAUAGAAAUUCUUGUUCUUAACGCCGUGGAACUCACCGAUGAGAUCUGUGCUUUUUUGUGUGCUUUUAAAAAAGUCCUUUCCUCCCCUGAGAACAUAGUUUUCUCUACUUUCUUCUAAAACGUUGCCUUGCGUGUUUAGGUCUUUAGCCAAAGGAACUGAUUUUAUAUAAAUAAGGAUCUAAUUUCAGGUUUUCCCUUUCGGAUAAGCAGCCGUUCUAGCUCUCUGUAUUGAGCAGUUCAUCUUCCGCAUUAUUUUUGAAAACCACUCUUCUCUAGAUCACAUUUCGGUUAUGCUCGAGUCUGUUUCUGGACUCGCUCAUCUGCUCCCUGGCCCAUGUGUCUGCCUCUGAGCCAAGGCCACACUACUCCAAAGACCAGGGCUUUAAACCAAGGCUUAGAGGUCACUGGAUGUUGUGUGUGCUGAAACCUGGUAGGCCAAGCCCUGCUCCUUGUAAUUCUUCAGGAAUGUCUCAGCUCCUUUUGGCCCUUUGUCCUUCUUUAUAAAUUAUAGAAAGAGAUUGUUCUAUGUCAUGAACACCUGGUUGAGAGUUUAUUUGAAACUGCAUUGAAUGAUAAAUUAAUCUGUGCAUUAAUUAAUUUCUAUUAAUUAAUUAAUAUAAUUAAUUAAUUAUACUUUAUUUCAUUAACAUUGGUUUAUAUUUCCCUGCACGGUUGCCCUUUUUUCCCAUUGUUCUAGUUUACAUUUCCAGUCGUACAUCUGGGAUCAUUUCCCUUCAACCUGAUGUACACUUUUUAAAGUUCCCUGGGUGAGAGUUGCUUCAAAUUUUUAAUUGGUGCAUGGCUGAUUUAGUAUGUUGUGUUAGUUUCAGAUAUACGGAAAAGUGAAUCAGUUAUACAUACGUAUUUUUUCUUUCUUUUCAGGUUCUUUUCCCAUAUGCAUUAUGGCAGAGUAUUGGGUAGAAUUCUGUGCUAUACAGCACGCCCGUCUUAGGCAUCUGUUUUGUAUGUAGCAGUAUACAUGGUGGGCUUCCCAGGUAGUGCGAGUGGUAAAGAACCUGCCUGCCAACGCAGGAGAUGCAGCUUUGACCCCUGAGUCAGAGAGGUCUCCUGGAGGCAGGAAACUACAACUUGCCCCGGUGCGCUUGCCUGGAGGAUCCCAUGAAGAGAGGAGCCUGGCAGUCCAGAGGGCUGCAGAGCCGGACACGACUGAAACGACUUAGCACGGCAAAGCGCAGGACGGCUCAGCGACAUGGUGGAGGCGGCCGGUGUUGGAUGAACCCAGAUUUGGGACGAGCAAAGAAAGCUGCACCUUUGCCUCCUCCGAGCCAAAAGCCGAAAGCCUUGGUAUUUUUUAUAAUCUCCCGCUCCGUGUUCAGUUUGAUUCUUUGAAUUGAUUCAGUUCUUUAAACUGAAUGUGGCUAGAGAAACAUCCAAAACUCUUUUGAGACAUUGUACCGUGAAAAUGAUCAGAGAAAUGGGCCCAUUGCUGGAGGGGAUGCAGGGUCAAAAAAAAAAAAAAAAAACUGUUGAGAAAUUACUUUACGGUGAGAUAGUGAUAUGUAUGGUGAUGAGAAUGACCCAGCAGACAGGGGCCAGCUGACAGGGCGAUGUCCUUGAAUAGGGGAGGACAGACAGCUCCCUUGCACAGAUGGAGGAAAGGGACUCAGGUGCAAGCUGGAGAGUUCACUUAACACCACGGUGGGAGUGCGGAGCAGAGCCACCUAGACUGGAAUGAAGUGAUGGACGGAUGUGAGCCAUCCCUUCUGGUUGCUUCUGCUUCCUUAGCGUAUAGGAAGGAAGGCUCUUAGCUGAGGAGGAGGACGAGGCAGAGGCGUCUGGGCUUCGAGAGAGAGGAGGUGUGAAAUGCUCUUCUAGGAGAGCAGGAGAGUGAACGGGCUGGGAAGCGGGAUGGGCCGGCAGCCACAGAAUUCCGCGUGUGAGUCGUGGGCUGGACUUGAUGGCACCGAUCACCUAAAGCACAGACUUGACCAAGUCCAUCCCCAUCUUCAAACCCUUAUUCACUCCCACUGCUCUGAAUUCCUCUGUAUGGCAAGGCCCUCCGUGACCCCAGCUUUACCAGAUCCCAGGUGCGAACUUCACACCAGCACCCCGAGCUGCUCGCAGUUGAGCGGAUUUCGCGCCUCCCCGCCACGGCUCUUGCUGCUCCUGCGUCCCGGCGCGCCCUGCCUGCCUCUGCCCUCCGACGGGGAGUCUGUCUGUGUUCCCCUCUGCCUCCUGGCCCUCACCCCGCAAUUCCUCGCACAGACUUUCUCAUCUGUUACGGCUCCUGUAAAACGUCACUGGCGGCACUUCCCUGGUGGUCCAGGGGUUAAGAAUCUGCCUGUCAGUGCAGGGGAUCUGGGUUCAGUCCCUGCUCUGGGAAGAUCCUACGCGCUGUGGGGCAGCUAAGCCCAUGUGCCCCACCUGCUAAGCCCGUGCACCAUAGAGCCUCUGCCCCACAACAGGAGAAGCCCGUCACGGGGAGCUUUUGCAGGGCGAUGAGAGAGUACAGCCCCUGCUCACCAGGACCAGACAAAAGCCCCCGAGUGGCAGUGAAGACCCAGCACAGCCUAAACAAACUGAGAAAGCAAAGCCGCCACUGGCUCUCAACUGUUUACGAUUGUGCCUCAUCCGCCCUAUCAAGGGCACAGACCACAUCCCGUCUUUUCUGGGCCCUGCCGUCCUGCUCUGAGCAGGUGCACACACGCUGUCUGCUGAGAGGACUGAUUGAGGGGGCUUCUGGAGGAGAGCUGGGUCAGGCUGGCAGGGCUGGGAGACCGCGGAGAAAAAGCCAGAACAGGGGCCAGGAAGCUGAGCCAAGCCCUGAGGUCAGGAGACAGCGGGCUGGGCUCCCAAAUGCAGGGCGGAGAGGGAGGCGGGUGGAGAGGCUUCGGGAGCCAGGGGAGAGCGUGGGGUGCAGCCGCGAGGUCCGGGACACGUGUCCUCCAACGCUGAGGACCUGCGAGAAUGACGCUGCUGUCACCUGGUCCUGGUGCUGCGGAGGGGCGCAGGCUGCUGGGGAGGGGCCAAGCGCUUUUCUUUCUGGGCAUCACAGACUUCUAAAGGUAGAGAGAUGUCCCCCAGUCCCCCUUCAGUCCCCCGGUUCCAAAGAGCCAUUCAAGUCCUAACAAGCUCCAAACAUGCCCACAGGGAAUAAGGGAAUGGGGAUCUGCAGGUGGCCCGCAGUGGUGCCAAGGGCAGCACUUAGGGGUCAGGCUCCUGGUCCCCCCACAAGCUGUGGUGCUUUGGGCUAGCUGCUCUGCCUCAUUGAGCCUCAGUCCUUUAAUCUGUAAAAGGGGACUGAUGAAGAAGACACAUAACCCAGUUAAAAAGUGGGCAAAGGAAUAUGAAUAGAUACACGUCCAAAGAAGAUAGACAGAUGGCCAGUAAGCAAACGAAAAGCGGCUCUACACCCUUAGUCGUUAGGGAAAUGCAGGUCACAACCACGGUGAGACACGACUCAGCCCACUAGACAAUAACAAGUGUCAGCAGGGGUGGGCAGAGAUGGAACCUGCAUGCAUGGUGGUGGGAAUGUGAGAUGGUGCAGUUGCUUUGGAAAAGCAAUUUCUCAAAAUAGUGAACACAGAGUUAGCCUAAGACCUAGUGAUUCCACCCUUAGUUAUCCACUUCAGAAAAACGAAAACUUGUACCCACCCAAAGCUCACACGUAAAUUUUCAUAGCAGUGUUAUUCAUGAUGGCCCCGAAUGGAAACAAUUCAAAUGUCCCUCAUCUGGUGGAUGGAGAAACAAAGCCUGAUGUUUCCAUUCCAUAGAAUACAAAAAUGAUCGAAAUAUUGAAACCGCUACAAAAUGGAUGAACUCAAAAGCAUGCUAAAUGAAAGAAGCUAGCCUCAAACGACUGCAUGCUGUAGGAUUCCAUCUAUGUGAAAUGUCCUAAUAGACAAAUCUAUACAGAUGUAAAAUAGCUUCAAGAAUGCCUGGGGCUGGUGGGGGUGCUGGCGGUAGGGACUGGAGAGUGGCUCUAAAUGGACAACAUUCUAAUGUUGGAUUGUGGUGAUGGUGGCCCGACUCCGUAAAAUAUAAUAGAGCACAUAGAAUUACUCCCUGUGGGUGAAUCUUGUGGUAUGCAAAUUACGUCUCAGUUCAGUUCAGUUGUUCAGUUGUGGCCGACUCUUUGAGACCCCAUGGACUGCAGCACGCCAGGCCUCCCUGUCCAUCACCAACUCCCGGAGUUUACUCAAACUCAUGUCCAUUGAGUCGGUGAUGCCAUCCAACCAUCUCAUCCUCUGUCCUCCCCUUCUCCUCCCACCUUCAAUCUUUCCCAGCAUCAGGGUCUUUUCUAAUGAGUCAGUUCUUCGCAUGAGGUGGCCAAAGUAU
ensembl:lncRNA